rnacentral:ncRNA from 1 species
CAGGAAUGGCAGAAGUCGGAAUUCCUAUAGAGAAGAAGAAGAAGGGAGAGGAGAGAUGUAGAAGGGACGUACUCUUUAAUAUAUCUGGAUGGGAGGGGGUAAUCUUGUUAAACCCUGUCGUGCUGGGGAUAGAGCAUUGCAAUUAUUGCUCUUCAACGAGGAAUGCCUAAUAGGCAAGAGUUAUCAGCUCGUGCUGAUUAC